GUGGAUUAGAUACCCGGGUAGUCCACGCCGUAAACGAUGAGUGCUAGGUGCUGCGGGUAUUGACCCCUGCGGUGCCGUAGCUAACGCGUUAAGCACUCCGCCUGGGGAGUACGGCCGCAAGGCUAAAACUCAAAGGAAUUGACGGGGGCCCGCACAAGCGGUGGAGCAUGUGGUUCAAUUCGACGCAACGCGCAGAACCUUACCUGGGUUAAAUCCACUCGAACCUUGCAGAGAUGUGGGGGUGCUCUUCGGAGAGCGAGUGAGAAGGUGCUGCACGGCCGUCGACAACU
rnacentral:rRNA from 1 species